GCCUCGCCUGUUUACCAAAAACAUCGCCUCUUGCUAAACCAAAAGUAUAAGAGGUCCCGCCUGCCCUGUGACUAUAUGUUUAACGGCCGCGGUAUUUUGACCGUGCGAAGGUAGCGCAAUCACUUGUCUUUUAAAUGGGGACCUGUAUGAAUGGCAUAACGAGGGCUUAACUGUCUCCUUUUUCAAGUCAGUGAAAUUGAUCUCCCCGUGCAGAAGCGGGGAUAGACACAUAAGACGAGAAGACCCUGUGGAGCUUCAGACACUAAAGCAGAUCAGUAUUAAUACCCUGAACAUAAGGCACGAAUAAGAUGAUUCCUGCCCUAAUGUCUUCGGUUGGGGCGACCGCGGAGAAAUAUAUAACCCCCGCAAGGACUGAAUGUACUACAUUCACAACCAAGAGUGACAACUCUAAUUAACAGAACU
rnacentral:rRNA from 1 species